AUUCCCACGGCGACGGCCUCCUGGCCCGCAUCAUGACUGUUGUUUUCCUCGCGGUGGCCAUAGCUUUUGGAUUUUACAUUCAGAUUGGUUCAAGGGGCUUUUUCCUUUCUCUGUUUGAAGGAAGCCACCCUCUCGAUCCCCAGUCAGCGUGGCGUCCUCUCAGCAACCCGCUCCUGGUCUUGCUUUGACUCCUGUGCUCCCGGGCUGCCGAGAACACGUCUGGAGCUUUUAAAUCAGGGUGAGUCCCAGCCGCCGAGGAAGCACUGAACAAAAAGGCCACCGCUGGGGAGCUGCAGGGGCACAGACGGAGCCUGGGAGCGGGGCUGACCAUGGGGAAGAAGGGGAGGUGGGAAAGAAGGCCCGGCCACCUCCACUGCUACAGCCACAGCGACAACAGUAGACAGUGACAGGCCCUGCCUGCCACGCACUGCAGAGUCUGUGGCUCUCCCCUGUUAAGUAAGAGCAGUCGGCGCUGACGUUCAGUGAGGUCAUGAGGAUACUCACAGAACUUUCUGGAAUAAGGGUCAGGCUGCGAAGCAUUCCCCAGACAUUGUAACAUCCAGCCAGUCACUCGUGGCAUUUAGCUUUUAGGUUCAUCUCUGUGAAUAAUCAUCACAAAUAUUUACUGAGCAUCCUUCAUCUCCUGGAAGCCUCGUGGAUUAUCUUGCUGAAUCCUCACCACAGCAGCCCGCUGAGGGAGGUGCUAUCAUCGUCCCUGUUUUUCAAGGGAGAGAAUCAAGGGACAAGGUCUUGCUAUGUUGCCCAAGCUGAUCUUGAACUCCUGGCCUCAAGCAAUCCCAAUAGUUCGGUCUCCCAAAUUGCUGAGAUUGUGGGUACAAGCCACUGCACCUGGACUUCUUCUGACAUUAUAAAGCAAAGAGCAUUUUCAAAAGCUGAUGCUACUUGUGCAUAUUCCAUAUUUGCUGAGCGCUUACUGUGUCCCCAUUAAGUGCCAGGCACAGUUUUCAGCACUGCUUUAAAGUGUCUACAAGCUUAGAAAGGGCAUAGGCAUCUCUUGAAAUCCAGUGUUCUAGGGAAAGUUUUUCCUGUGGUUUUGCACAGAACCCACCGCUUCCUGUCCAAGGUGACAGCUUUAGCUGGGAGAGAAAUUAAAAAUGCCUCCUUGGAAUAGCUAUCUGAUGUGUCUAAAUAUGAUUGCUGAUGUUAGCAAUAGGACCUGCCUAUUAGCAAUGGUUUGGGCAACUGUAUGUGUGAGGCAGGGAGAGAAAGAGGAAGAAAAUACAGCUCUCACUAUUGUUUCCAAAUGGCAAGACUGGUUUUCCUGCUACCUACUAACCAGUGUAGUUAUUAGUGUUACAUAUCACCUCUGCAUCUUAUUUAUGUAAUAUUCCAAGAAGCUAAAAAAAAAAACCUCUUUUUUUUUUUUUUUUUACAAAUCUUAGAUUUUAUGAACACUUGCUAAUAGCCCCCCCCUCCUAGAUCGUCAUUGCUGUGUAACAAAUUGUCAUACAUUUAGCAGUUUAAAAUACCACACAUUUACUCACAGCUUCCAUGGGCCACGAGUGUGGGGACGAGUGACUGGGUCGUCUGCUCAGGGUCUCUUACAAGACUCCAUCAGCGUUUCAGCUGGGGCUGGGGUCUCAUCUGAGGCUCAGGGUCCUCACUCCAGGUCACAGGGCAGAAUUCAUUUCUUUCAAGCUACGGAUCUCAUGGCAGCUUGCUUUUUCAAGGCCAGCAAGGGAGAGAGUGAAUCUGCUGCUUUUAGUGUCUGACCUCUCGAUCUUCUUUUAAAUGGCUCAUCUGAUUAGGGCAGACCCACCCAGGAUAAUCUCUCUUUUGACUAACUUACAGUCAACUCAUUAGAGAUCCUAAUUACAUCUGCAAAAAUCCCCUCACCUUUGCCUGAUAAUGUGACAUCAUCACGGGGGCAAUAUCCCAUCACUUUUGCCAUAUACUAUUGGCUAGAAGCAAAUUAAGGUCCUGCUACCACUCAAGGGGAGGGGAUUACACAAGGGCAUGGGACAUCAGGGGUCAUCUUAGAAUUCUGGCAACCAGAAUAAGCUACUUGUGGAUAGACAUGUUGUCAUACAUAUUUUUUGUUCAGUCAUUAUGCUUAGCAGAGAAAUAGGCACACAGCAGAAAAAUAACUGAUUGGUACGGAGAAUUUAGUGAUUGGAAACGAAUUAAUAUUGUUAAGACACAAAGUUUCUUGCAGAGCACACUCUGAAAAAGGUCACUUUUUACCCCUCAAUAUGUCUUAAUGGGUUGAGGUAGAGAGAAGCGUGGGUAGGUAUCAAUCACGAGAGCACACAGGCUAAAAGAAAGAAAAAAUGAGCUGGGACAUCUAAGUUCAACUUCCACUUCCUCCUAUACAAGCUGGGUGACCUUUUCCUAUCUAGAAAGUGGGAGAAGUAGUUCCUGUCCUCCCUUACAGGGCUGCUGAGCAGGCAGAAUGAGAUGAUGGGCUGAGAGGGCUUGGAGAGGACAAACUGUGGGUACAAAAGUCUUAUUGUCCUGGCCCGGAUUGCUAAGGAGAUGGUGGUUAAUAAUAUGCUGCUAUCUCAUGAGGUAAAUGCGUGAUCACAUAGCCAAGAGAUGCCUUUUUGUUCUAAUGAUCACUGUAAGACCUUCUUGAGAGACAGUCCAAGUCUCUCCAGCACAAUGGAAAAUUGCAUUUUCUAUGCACACAUUCGAGGGGAAAGAGACCCCUCCAACGUUCUUCUCAGUUUUACCCCAAAGUUGAGUUCUGGGUCAAAAAUCUCUCAAGCGUCCUCCACAGCUGACUUCCACAGUCCCCUGUGUGUCUCUGCAAGGAACACAAAGGAAGUGAGAUAGUGGGAAGUCUGGGGCCAUCUUCGGUCACGUGAGAAUUCCCUCUCAGUUAGCCGGGGCGUGCAGCCGCACAGAAGGAAGGCAGCCACGCAGCUCCAGUCCAGGCUGGGAGAGAGCUUUGUAGAUCCAUCUCCCACUGAGCAGGCUUCCCUCCUGCAAGGAGAGACUCUACCGAUAAUGUGUUAAGAUCAGAUUAAUGCAGGAAAUACACAUGAAAUAAAUAAUAACAGUGUAAUAACAGUGGCUGUCAUUGCAAUGGUUAUUUCUGUUAAAAAUGUGAGAUCUACACUACGGAUUUCUUAGGAUAAUUUUGCCCUUACUUAAAAGAAACUGACAGAUGUACUUUAUAAAAAUGAAAAUAAUUUAACAAAUAAAGAAUUGGAGAAUAUUGACUCAC
rnacentral:lncRNA from 1 species